rnacentral:rRNA from 1 species
UACGGAAGGCAGCAGUGGGGAAUCUUGCGCAAUGGGCGAAAGCCUGACGCAGCCAUGCCGCGUGAAUGAUGAAGGUCUUAGGAUUGUAAAAAUUCUUUCACCGGGGACGAUAAUGACGGUACCCGGAGAAGAAGCCCCGGCUAACUUCGUGCCAGCAGCCGCGGUAAUACGAAGGGGCUAGCGUUGCUCGGAAUUACUGGGCGUAAAGGGCGCGUAGGCGGAUCGUUAAGUCAGAGGUGAAAUCCCAGGGCUCAACCCUGGAACUGCCUUUGAUACUGGCGAUCUUGAGUAUGAGAGAGGUAUGUGGAACUCCGAGUGUAGAGGUGAAAUUCGUAGAUAUUCGGAAGAACACCAGUGGCGAAGGCGACAUACUGGGCUCAUUACUGACGCUGAGGCGCGAAAGCGUGGGGAGCAAACAGGGAUUAGAUACC